AUUGAACGCUGGCGGCAGGCCUAACACAUGCGAGUCGAGCGGAUGAAGGGAGCUUGCUCCUGGAUUCAGCGGCGGACGGGUGAGUAAUGCCUAGGAAUCUGCCUGGUAGUGGGGGAUAACGUCCGGAAACGGGCGCUAAUACCGCAUACGUCCUGAGGGAGAAAGUGGGGGAUCUUCGGACCUCACGCUAUCAGAUGAGCCUAGGUCGGAUUAGCUAGUUGGUGGGGUAAAGGCCUACGAAGGCGACGAUCCGUAACUGGUCUGAGAGGAUGAUCAGUCACACUGGAACUGAGACACGGUCCAGACUCCUACGGGAGGCAGCAGUGGGGAAUAUUAGACAAUGGGCGAAAGCCUGAUCCAGCCAUGCCGCGUGUGUGAAGAAGGUCUUCGGAUUGUAAAGCACUUUAAGUUGGGAGGAAGGGCAGUAAGUUAAUACCUUGCUGUUUUGACGUUACCAACAGAAUAAGCACCGGCUAACUUCGUG
rnacentral:rRNA from 1 species